CUUAGAAUUUGCAAUGUCAUCCUCACAGUUGUACAGAAGUGACAACACUGUUGAUCGCCAUCUCUACAAUUCAGAUAAAAUGAACAGAAAGAAUGGGCCUGUCUCCAGCUCCACCAUUAGACGGAGGGUCCGUCAAGAUGUUUUGACUACAUCACUGUGAUUGAUGGGAAACUGAAUACAACUUUGACUGAUGUUCCACUUCAUAGAAUUGUUGACUAAC